UACGGGGGGGGCAAGCGUUGUCCGGAAUUAUUGGGCGUAAAAGAGCUCGUAGGCGGCUGUCCAACGUCGGAUGUGAAAGCUCGGGGCUCAACCCUGAGAGGCCAUUCGAUACGGGACGGCUAGAGGUAGGUAGGGGAGAUUGGAAUUCCUGGUGUAGCGGUGAAAUGCGCAGAUAUCAGGAGGAACACCGGUGGCGAAGGCGGAUCUCUGGGCCUUACCUGACGCUGAGGAGCGAAAGCUGGGGGAGCGAACAGG
rnacentral:rRNA from 1 species